rnacentral:rRNA from 1 species
GUGCCAGCAGCCGCGGUAAGACAGAGGGUGCAAACGUUGUUCGGAAUUACUGGGCGUAAAGCGCGUGUAGGCGGUCGUGCAAGUCGGGUGUGAAAGCCCUCGGCUCAACCGGGGAAGUGCACUCGAAACUGCAUGACUAGAGUCUCGGAGAGGAUAGUGGAAUUCUCGGUGUAGAGGUGAAAUUCGUAGAUAUCGAGAGGAACACCGGUGGCGAAGGCGGCUAUCUGGACGAUGACUGACGCUGAGACGCGAAAGCGUGGGGAGCAAACAGGAUUAGAUACCCCGGUAGUCC